CCUACGGGAGGCUGCAGUGGGGAAUAUUGGGCAAUGGGCGCAAGCCUGACCCAGCAACGCCGCGUGAAGGAAGAAGGCUUUCGGGUUGUAAACUUCUUUUCUGAGGGACGAAGAAAGUGACGGUACCUCAGGAAUAAGCCACGGCUAACUACGUGCCAGCAGCCGCGGUAAUACGUAGGUGGCAAGCGUUGUCCGGAUUUAUUGGGUGUAAAGGGCGUGUAGGCGGGAAAGCAAGUCAGAUGUGAAAACUCAGGGCUCAACCCUGAGCCUGCAUUUGAAACUGUUUUUCUUGAGUGCUGGAGGGGCAAUCGGAGUUCCGGGUGUGGCGGUGAAAUGCGUAGAUAUACGGAGGAACACCAGUGGCGAGGGCGGAUUGCUGGACAGUAACUGACGCUGAGGCGCGAAGGCGUGGGAGGCAAACAGGAUUAGAUACCCUAGUAGU
rnacentral:rRNA from 1 species